rnacentral:tRNA from 1 species
CAAGAGGUAGUUUAUUUAAAAUAUUAAUUUUGGGGAUUAGUGAUAAAGGAAUUCUUUUCUCUUGA